rnacentral:rRNA from 1 species
UACGGAGGGUGCAAGCGUUAUCCGGAUUCACUGGGUUUAAAGGGGGCGUAGGUGGGUUGGUAAGUCAGUGGUGAAAUCCCCGAGCUUAACUUGGGAACUGCCAUUGAUACUAUCAGUCUUGAAUACUGUGGAGGUCAGCAGAAUAUGUCAUGUAGCGGUGAAAUGCUUAGAUAUGACAUAGAAUACCAAUUGCGAAGGCAGCUGGCUACACAAAUAUUGACACUGAGGCACGAAAGCGUGGGGAUCAAACAGG